rnacentral:hammerhead_ribozyme from 1 species
ACCCAGUUGACGAGUCUUAAAUAAGACGAAACACGCAUCCUGGAU